AUGUUGUUGGUGGCAAGUGUAAGCUGGGUAGAAAGAUUGGGAGUGGCUCUUUCGGUGAGCUGUAUUUAGGUGUCAAUAUACAAAAUGAAGAAGAAGUAGCCAUCAAGUUGGAGUCAGUCAAGACCAAACACCCUCAACUUCACUACGAAU